rnacentral:snRNA from 1 species
AUUGUUUCUCAGCCUUUUGGCUAAGAUCAAAUGUAGUAUCUAUUCUUGUCAGUUUAAUACCUGAUAUAUCCUCUACCCGAGGACAACCUAUUAAAUGGAUUUUUGGAACUGGGAGAUGGAAUAGGGGCUUGCUCCAUCCAUUCCAUGCAUCGACCCAGUACUGUAGUGCUUCUAGAAUUAGUGUACCCCCA